ACUGACGCUGAGAUGCGAAAGCGUGGGGAGCAAACAGGAUUAGAUACCCUGGUAGUCACGCUGUAAACGAUGUCGAUUUGGAGUUUGUUGCCUAGAGUGAUGGGCUCCGAAGCUAACGCGAUAAAUCGACCGCCUGGGGAGUACGGCCGCAAGGUUAAAACUCAAAUGAAUUGACGGGGGCCCGCACAAGCGGUGGAGCAUGUGGUUUAAUUCGAUGCAACGCGAAGAACCUUACCUGGUCUUGACAUCCAUAGAAUUCUGCAGAGAUGUGGGAGUGCCUUCGGGAACUAUGAGACAGGUGCUGCAUGGCUGUCGUCAGCUCGUGUUGUGAAAUGUUGGGUUAAGUCCCGCAACGAGCGCAACCCUUAUUCUUUGUUGCCAGCGAUUUGGUCGGGAACUCAAAGGAGACUGCCGUUGAUAAAGCGGAGGAAGGUGGGGACGACGUCAAGUCAUCAUGGCCCUUACGACCAGGGCUACACACGUGCUACAGUGGCGUAUACAAAGGGAAGCGAAGGUGCGAGCUGGAGCGGAUCUCAUAAAGUACGCCUAAGUUCGGAUUGGAGUCUGCAACUCGACUCCAUGAAGUCGGAAUCGCUAGUAAUCGUAGAUCAGAAUGCUACGGUGAACACGUUCCCGGGCCUUGUACACACCGCCCGUCACACCAUGGGAGUGGGUUGCACCAGAAGUAGAUAGCUUAACCGCGAGGGGGGCGUUUACCACGGUGUGAUUCAUGACUGGGGUGAAGUCGUAACAAGGUAACCA
rnacentral:rRNA from 1 species